AACGAACGCUGGCGGCAUGCCUAACACAUGCAAGUCGAACGAGAUCUUCGGGUCUAGUGGCGCACGGGUGCGUAACGCGUGGGAAUCUGCCCUUUGGUUCGGAAUAACAGUUGGAAACGACUGCUAAUACCGGAUGAUGACGAAAGUCCAAAGAUUUAUCGCCAGAAGAUGAGACCGCGUAGGGUGAGCUAGUUGGUGUGGUAAAGGCGCACCAAGGAGACGAUCCUUAGCUGCUCUGUGAGGGUGAUCAGCCACACUGGGACUGAGACACGGCCCAGACUCCUACGGGAGGCAGCAGUGGGGAAUAUUGGACAAUGGGCGAAAGCCUGAUCCAGCAAUGCCGCGUGAGUGAUGAAGGCCUUAGGGUUGUAAAGCUCUUUUACCCGGGAUGAUAAUGACAGUACCGGGAGAAUAAGCUCCGGCUAACUCCGUGCCAGCCGCCGCUGUAA
rnacentral:rRNA from 1 species